rnacentral:rRNA from 1 species
GCGACCCCAGGAUGGGCGAGGCCACCCGCCGAGUUUAAGCAUAUCAWUAAGCGGAGGAGAAGAACUACG